GAAUGGCAGGCGAAGGAAAAAGACAAACACCCCGGCUCCCAACACAAUCCAAGCGUUAGCCUAGAGACACUUGAACAACAUUCCUAACUUUUUUUUUCCUGCUCAUUUCGCCUGCCUCAAAGAGCCCGAGGCCGGAGGACCGUUUCCAGAACUCGAGGUGUGGAACCGACAAAUCGGUUUGGAAACCGCCACCCCCAACAAGUGGCUCUUCCCGACGUGUUUCUGAGUCCCGAGGGUGGCUGUUCCUUGCUGUUUGUCUCUUACUUGCUUUGCAAGAGUAAAGGGGGUCAUUACCCCCAACCGACAGCGCCAGAGUAACUGGUUUGCCCCUGCAUAAGCGGAUGAAAAUCGACUCACUCAAGAGUGGUGACACAGGAGGUGCAGAUUCGAUCCCUGGUUUGGGAAGAUCCCCUGGAGGAGAGCAUGGCAGCCCACUCCAGUAUUCUUGCCUGGAAAAUUCCACAGACAGAGGAGCUUGAUGGGCUACAGUCCAUGGGAUCAGAAGGAGUUGGAUGCAACUGGCACAGGUCUAGAAGUCCAAGAUCAAGGUGUCGGCAGAUUCGGUGGACAGGCUGAGCCCACUAGACCAGCAAGUUGCCUGGUUGGAAGAUGCAAGUUUCUCCUUGGUGUUUAUUAACAGAUGACUUCUGACGGAAUGAAUCCUAGGAGAGAGAAGAGAUAUUCAAAACUCUUUAAGUGAGAAUAAAAGAACAUCUCUGAAAGCAUUUUCUGUACAAAUAUGUUUCAUGUUCAUAUAGAAUUUAAGAUUAAUAAAGGAUCUUAAUCGUGUCUGUGCUUCUAUCAUACUGCAUAUUGUUUGGUGAGCCUUAGUCUACUUUUAAGACCUCUAUUGAAAAUAGUUAAGCAUAGAAGAAAACAGAUUCAUUACUUCUGGCUUUCCUCUUUAAGAGAGAAGUUUGGGUGGAG
ensembl:lncRNA